rnacentral:tRNA from 2 species
GCCGUCUUAGCUCAAUCGGUAGAGCGCAUCCAUGGUAAGGAUGAGGUACGGGGAUCGUAACCCCGAGACGGCUCCA